AUGGACCUCGCAACGGGGGCCAUGGGUAGUCUGCUCCUCAAGCUUGGCGAACUCCUCAAGGAGGAGUACCACCUCCAGACCAGCGUCAAAAAAGACGUCCAGUAUCUCGAGAGAGAGUUGAUGAGCAUGCAUGCUGCCCUCCGCAAGGUUGGGGACGUGCCACGGGAUCAGCUCGACGAACAGGUCAAGCUCUGGGCCGAGGAGGUCAGGGACAUGUCAUAUAAAAUGGAGGAUAUCGUCGACAAGUUCCUGGUGCGUGUCGAGGGCACUGAGCAUGCCGUCAAGCCACGCAAGCUCAAGCGGCUCAUGAAGAAGAUGGGCGGCUUGUUCACCAAGUUCAUGACAUGCCAUGCCAUUGGUGACAAGAUCAAAGGAAUCAAGGCCAGUGUCCAGGAGGUGGCUGACCGGCGUGACCGGUACAAGGUCGAAGAUGUGGUCCCUAAUCCAGCUGGCCUAGCCACGGUCGACCCUCGCCUAUCGGCUCUUUACAAGGACCGGAAAGAGCUAGUUGGCAUUGAUCAUUCAUUGAAUGAGCUAACCAAGAUGUUGAGUGAUGGGGAUGGUGAUGAAUCCAAGCGACUCAAGAUACUCUCUAUUUUUGGAUUUGGAGGCCUUGGCAAGACAACUCUUGCCAAAGCGUUGUAUGAUAGGCUCCAAGAGGAAUUCUAUUACAGCGCUUUUGUUCCCGUAAGACGGAAUCCUAGUGUGAAGAAACUUCUCAAUGACAUUCUCUUUGCAAUUAAAAAGCAAAUGUACCCGGGAUUGGAUGAAAGGCAGCUUAUUGACGAACUCCGAGGAUUACUUGAGAACAAAAGGUACUUCAUCGUUAUUGAUGACAUAUGGGAUACACAAACAUGGGAAAUAGUUAAGCUCGCUUUGGUGUGUAAUAAUUGUGGAAGCAGGAUAAUUACAACUACUCGUAUACUCGAAGUUGCCACAAUGACUGGUGAAGUAUACAGGUUACAACCGCUUUCCCAUGAUCUAUCCAAGGAUUUAUUUCAUAGAAGAUUAUCUUGUGGUGAAAUAAAACAGCCAAGUCAUCUUCCAGCAGAGGUAUACAAUAAAAUUCUACAUAAAUGUGGUGGUGUACCAUUGGCUAUAAUCACAAUAGCUAGUUUGCUCAUCAAUAAACCAGUGGAGCUUUGGUCCAAGGUAUACACCUCAAUGGGUUUUGGGCAUGAAGAGAACAAAGAUGUGGAUAACACGAGGAAAAUACUUUUAUUUAGCUAUUAUGAUCUACCUUAUCACCUAAGGACUUGCUUAUUGUAUCUGAGCAUAUACCCGGAAGAUCGUCUGAUUGAAAAAGAUAGCUUGAUAUGGAAGUGGGUUGGCGAAGGUUUCAUCCACGACAAACCAGGGGUAGGACUAUUUGAGAUUGGUGAGAGGUACUUCAACGAGUUGGUGAACAAAAGCAUGUUAAUGCCGGUAGAGACCCCACAAUAUCAUGGCAUCAUAACUGGGUGUCGUGUCCAUGACAUAAUACUUGAUAUGAUAUGUCUAUUGUCAAAGGAAGAAAACUUUGUUACUGUAUUGGAUAAUAAUGAGCAAUAUACAAAUUCACAUUGCAAUGAUCGUAGGCUAGCUGUUCAACAAAGCUUCAAACCGUUGGCUAGCACUUCUACAUUUCAAGCAAGGUCACUUAAUGCCAUGUGCAAUGCUAAGAUGUUGCCAUCACUUUCAUGCUUUGAAGUUUUGCGGGUCCUAGCUUUGGAAGGCUCAGCUAGUUCGCACAAUCCUAAUUAUCUUGAGCUUGUUGGAAAGUUAGUUCACUUGAGGCACCUCAAAGUAGCUAGCAUGGGUAUCCGUAAGCUCCCAAAGGAAAUAGGAAAUCUGAAGUUCUUGCUAGUAUUGGACUUGGGUGGAAACAGCGUAAGUAAACUUCCACAGAGUGUUGGUUGA
rnacentral:rRNA from 1 species